ensembl:lncRNA SNHG14 small nucleolar RNA host gene 14
GGAAGGCCAGUGGAGACAAUGGAUGAUCUUGUUCUUAGCAGAUCACUGGAUGUGGCAGGGAGUCCUAGGACAUGUGUGGUGUGGGCUUCUUCAGGUGCUGGUGGUGUUGGCAUGAGGAAAGGAGGUAUCUUCGAGGGACAAUCUUCUUCUUGUGCGAUCCUUGGAGAUGCCAUGAGGCCCCUGGACACAUGUGGUGUGGGCUCCUUUGGAGGCUGUUGUAUCCCUUCUGAAUGUGGCGUGGGCAUAGAAGGAAGGCCAGUGGCCACGAGGGACAAUCUUGGUCUUGGGAGAUCCUGGAAAUGAUAGGGAGUCCCUUGAUAUGUGUGGCAUGGGCUCCUUCAGGUGCUAGUGGAUUCCUUAGGAUGGUGGUGUUGGCAUGAAAGGCAGGCUUGUAUCAUGAGGAAUGAUUGUCAUCUUGUCUGAUUCUUGGAGAUGGCAGGAAGCCCCUGGAAACACAUGGUGUGGACUCUUUCACAGGCUGUUGAAACCCUCCUGAAUGUGAGGCCAGAGACAGGCAGACAGCAGAUGUAUUGCAGGGAGCUGGAUGACAUGGCCCUUGGAACCUGUGCACAUGCCUGCCUUUCUGAUGCACGUCCAUGUUUUCUCUGCACCUCCCCGGUGGUGUUGGUAUAAAAAGCAGGCUUACAUCAGCAAGGGAUGAUUGUCGUCUCAUGCGAUCCUGGGAGAUGGCAGAAGUCCCGGGACACAUGGAGUGUGGGCUCUUUCGGAGGCUGUUGGAUCCCUCCUGAAUGUGUUGUGGCCAUGGAAGUAAGGCCAGUGGCUACGAGGGACAGUCUUCAUCUUGGGAGAUCCCUAGAGAGGGCAGGGAGCCCCUUGACAUGUGGAAUGUGAUCUCUGUUGGGUGCUGGUGGAUCCCACAGGUGGUCUGGCAUGGAAGAAGGCCAGAGGCUGCGAUGGAUCAUCUUUGUCUUGGGAGAUUCCUGGAGAUGGUGGGGAGCCCCUGGGCACGUGCAGCAUAUGUGGCGUGGGCUUCUUCAGGUGCUGGUGGAUCCCUCAGGAUGCUUUUCAAGGUUUUUCUAUGAGUUCUGUUAAAGAGUCUGAAAAUGGAGCGUAGAAGACAUGCUUCGAUUUCCAGGAUGGUUGUGUUUUCCAGAGAGGCGGAGGUAAACCACUGGCGCAGCCCUGCCUCCCACAGAUAAUUCCGGGUGCAGUGUUUCAUAUCUAGACUUGGACUUCUAUCCUACCAUACUUCUUUGUGUGCAGUUCAUUGUGGAACCAGCACAGAUUUUCAUACGAAAGUUAUUUCUUUUUAACCUCAAAAAGUGACAGAAUGGAGUGUAUCAUGAAAAAGUCUGACAUCAAAACCUCAAAAUGUGAUAUUGAUUGGGUGAGAUAGAAUUCCAUGGAAUUUCAUUGCCAAACCAGUGAAGUGCUAAUUUUGACAUUUGUACCAGCUAACGUAGCUGUGAAGAAACACACCAAUACACUUCUAAGGACAGCAUAGACCAAGAUCUAGGUUUCAUAUGGAUGAAUUUAUUCUUCCCUUUGAGGCAAGACAAGAAGGAAAGAAAGUAUUGGGAAUAAUGCUGCCCUCCCAUCCUCAAGGGCCAGUGGGAACUCUAAUAUUGAUUGGGUGAGAUACAAUUCCAUGGAAUUUUACCACUGAACCAGUGGAGGGCUAAUUUUGUCAUUUGUACCAGUUAACUAACUUGGGAGGAAACAGAACAACACACUCCUGAGGGUAAAAUGGAAACUCUGAGAGUUUGGUUGGCGGCAUCUAUAUACCAUAGAAACAGAGCCUGGGAAGCAGAACAGUGAGACCCAAGAGAAAUGUUCCUGCCUAUACUUGGUCUGUUCUCACAUUUGCCUGAGCUACUGAUUGAUCUUUUGAGGGUGAUGAGAUGGUCAAAAUCCAAGGAUAUGAUGAGUUUUUACUUCUCAUUUUCUUUUUUUUUUUAUUAUACUUUAAGUUUUGGGGUACAUAUGCAGAACGUGCAGGUUUGUUACAUUGGUAUACACGUGCCAUGGUGGUUUGCUGCACCCAUCAACCCAUCAUCUACAUUAGGUAUUUCUCCUAAUGCUAUCCCUCCCCUAGCCCCUGACCCCCCAACAGGCCCUGGUGUGUGAUGUUCCCUCCCUGUGUCCAUGUGUUCUCAUUGUUCACCUCCCACUUAUGAGUGAGAACAUGUGGUGUUUGGUUUUCUGUUCUUGUGUUAGUUUGCUGAAAAUGAUGGUUUCCAGUUUCGUUCAUGUCCCUGCAAAGGACAUGAACUCAUGCUUUUUUAUGGCUGCAUAGUAUUCCAUGGUGUACAUGUGCCACAUUUUCUUUAUCCAGUCUAUCAUUGAUGGACAUUUGGGUUGGUUCCAAGUCUUUGCUAUUGUGAAUAGUGCCGUAAUAAACAUAUGUGUGCAUGUGUCUUUAUAGUAGCAUGAUUUAUAAUCCUUUAGAUAUAUACCCAGUAAUGGGAUUGCUGAAUCAAAUGGUAUUUCCAGUUCUAGAUCCUAGAGGAAUUGCCACACUGUCUUCCACAACGGUUGAACUAAUUUACACUCCCACCAACAGUGUAAAAGUGUUCCUAUUUCUCCACAUCCUCUCCAGCAUUUGUUGUUUCCUGACUUUUUUUAAUGAUCGCCAUUCUAACUGGCAUGAGAUGGUAUCUCAUUGUGGUUUUGAUACACAUUUCUGUAAUGACCAGUGAUGAUGAGCCUUUUUUCAUGUUUGUUGGCUGCAUAAAUGUCUUCUUUUGUUUUACUUCUCAUUUUCUUAAAGUGAAACAAUUUCAUGUGGUAUCUUCCAAGUAUAUUUUAAUCAGUUGCCAACCCAGCUGCUAAGAUUGAACUGUUUCUUUUGUUCUUCUCUUGUUUUUUUCUAUUAAUUUAGCAAACAAUUUUAUAUAUAGUUUGCUAUCCUUCUCCAUGGGGCCUGCAUCUUCAGAUUCAACUAGCCAUGGAUUGAAAAUACUUGACAAAAAAUUGUAUGGUUUCAUCUGUACUGAACAUGUACAGUCUUUUUCUCUCUUUUUCUCUUUCUUUCUUUUUUUUUUUUUUGAGACAGAGUUUCACUCUGUCACCCAGGCUGGAGUGCAGUGGCACGAUCUCAGCUCACUACAACCUCUGUCCCCCGGGUUCAAGUGAUUCUCCUACCUCAGCCUCCUGAAUAGCUAGGAUUACAGGCGCCCACCACUGUGCCAGGCUAAUUUUUGUGUUUUUAGUAGAGAUGGGGUUUCACCAUGUUGGCCGGGCUGGUCUCGAACUCCUGACCUUAAGUGAUCUGCCUGCAUCAGCCUCCCAAAGUGCUGGGAUUACAAGCAUGAGCCACCAUGCCCAGCCAAGUACAGACUUUUUCUUUGGUUAUUAUUCCCUAAAACAGUACAGUAUAACAACUAUUUACGCAGCAUUUACAUUGUAUUCAGCAUCAUGAGUAAUCUAGAAAUGAUUUCCUGCAUAUAGGAGGAUGUACAUAGGUUCUAUGCCAAUAGUGCACAGUGCUCGCUGUGUUUAAAGAAAUAUCCUAGGUAUAGAAUAAAUAAUUUUGAAGUCAGUGUGUUGAGAAAACACUGACAUGGAUAGAAAAUAUUCUGUCUAGAAUAGAAAAAACAAUAGAAUAGAAAAAGUUCUAUCUGUAUCAGUCUGAUCAAAGAUGUGAGCAUAAUUAUUCUUGUCAUACAUAUAGUCUAAUGAAUGUCUAAAGUGAAUUCUUAUAACUGCUUGUAACAAAAUAUUUCAUUUGGCAAAUGUUAUUUCACAACUUUCCUAAUUGCCCAUGUACUUUGUAGAUUGGUUUUCACAGAAUUCCAUGGACUUUAACUGCUGAACCAAUGAUGCACUGAUUUUGUCACUUGUACCAGCUAACGCAUCUGGGAGGCAACAAAACAAUACUCUCCUGAGGUUAAUGUGGACCAAAAACUAGAUUUCAUAUAAAAGAGUUUAUUCCUUCUACUUGAGGUGUGACAUGAAGGAAAGUAAUGGAAAUAAUUCUGCCCUCCCAUUCUCAAGGGCCAGGGGGAAUUCAAAUAUUGAACGGAAGUGAUUUUGGAAUUGCAUGGAAUUCUCACUGCCAUCCCAAAGAAAUGCUGAUCUUGUCACUCUUACCUGUUUCAUUCCCUGGGGGCAGAACAAAAGGACGCACUCCAAAGAUCGGCAUGAACCAAGAACUGGGUUUCAUAUAAAAUAUUUUAUUCUGUCCUCUUGAGAUGUGACAUGAGAAAAGUAUUGAGAAUACUUCUAUCACCUCAUCUUCAAGAAUCCGUAGGAAUUCUCCCAUGGUGGACUUUACGGUUAACCUGAACAGGUCUUGGAAAAAGGACUUUAAACAUUCUCCUGUUCUGUGGAAUAAGUAUACUUUUUUCUGGACAUACACCUUGUCAGUGAGUUCCAUGUGAUACUAGAGUUGCAUAGAUUUUUAACCUUUACGCCAAUGAAGAUCUGAGGCAAACAUUGCCCCUUUUUUAGAAGUUUGCAUUUGUCACUGAUAACUGUAAUAAUUGAUCUUGUUGAAAAGCCUGGGAAAUGAAGAUCUGAUAUGUCACUUUUACCGGCUUCCUCAACUGAAAAAGAAUACAAUGAAACACGCUGAGAAUUUUUGUGCUUUCUCAGUCUUGCUGAUGAUCUUUCUAUGGGCCUGAAGCGUGGAGAGUGCCAGAGAGGCUGAUCCUCAGCAGUGUGGCAGAGGAAAGUUGGGUGCGACUAAGGGGUAUGCGGUGCCCACAUGCCACUGGGUCCUCAGCAGUACCACCUGAUUGGAAGUGAUAUUGGUGGAAGACAACAUUUUGCCGCUUGGAAUUCUCACCUCCACACCAAAGAAGUACUGUUUUUGUCAUUUGCACCAGCUUCUUUCUCCAGGAAAGAUCAAAACGAUGCACUGCAAGUGUGAUUGGUCCAGAUAGCUGCCUUAUCCAACUGCCUCCUUUGGACCACUUCAUCAUGGGACAGCUUGAUGCAAUCUACUUGACAAGACCCUGGAACCCCACACCCCUCAUGGAACCAGUGUCCACCUCCCAGUCACAGUGUGACCCCAGGGAACUCUUGCCUGCUUGCUUUAAACCCACCACUUAAAAGUCUCCACAGAAAACCUGUUUGAAUAGUACCCUUGACCCAAUAAGGGCAUUGGCCCCUGGGUGUCUCUCUCUCUCUCUCUCUCUCUCUCUCCCUCUCUCUCCCUCUCUCUCUCUCGCUCCCUGACCUCUGCGUGUGGACUCCAGGCAUGCCAUAUACCCCUCAGGACCUGAAGCAAAAGAAUGAAUUAAAGAAAACUCCAGAGAAUGAGCUGACAACCUACUCCCUGGUCAGUGGCUCUCCAUGCCUACCUGUGGUCUCUUGGACACCCUUGCAGAAGAUGACUUCCUGGGAACUCUUCUGGGAGUGAAUGUUAUCAGCAAAUUCCCAAAACAACACCCCUUAGACAAAAAGCCUCCUCACCUAUGCAUUGCCUAGACCACCCACUAAAGGUGAUGGCCACAAAGAGGUGGAUUUGUUGAGUUGGUGCCAUUCCUUCUACUGCCAGCUUCACCAAAACAAUGACACAGUCUUCCUUCCGCAUGGAGACUCUUCUCUUUCCUGUGUUGCAGUGGAUGCCUCCUGCAGAUAAGAAAUGCUUAACUGAGAAAUGCUCAUGUUGGGAUAUCAUCGAUGAGACUUUAAUUUGGGCAUGGUGACUGUUUCCCUUGCUGCCACUUGACUCAAUCCCAGGAGCCUCAGUAGAGGAUAUAAUAUUACACAAGAUGCUCAAAAUGGUGGAAUUGCUCAGUGCUCCCAUAAAUAUACAUUUAUAAUUUUCAUUUGCCACAUGGUAAACUGAAAAAUACAGACUAUAUUAAAAAGAAACUGCAUGAUUUUUUUUCAAAAAUUCAAAGCAUAUUUAAAUAAUAUAUAAAUUAAAUGCCCUCCUCUCUUCCAAUUCUGUCCCUAUAGUUUUCCUCUAUUAAGUGAACUACAUGCAUUCUUUUAGUGGAUAGAUGCACACAAACACACAAGCCAUUAUGGGGAAGGAUCCACGUGUGUGGCCAUAUUGUAACACAUUUUUCUGCAAAUCACCUCUUUCAUUUAACAGCCCUUAUUCAAUGGCCUUUUUCUUUUUCAGUAGUACAUACACAUCUGUGUCAUUUGUUGAAUGACGACAUGAAUGUUUUGUAGAUAAAAUAUAAUUAAAUGUUUUAAGCAUUUCUCACUCAUAGAUAUUUAUGUUAGCACCAAAUUUCUGUGCAAUGAACCUCCCUAUAUAUCAGUAAUUUUGCAUUUGUCUAUAAUAUCAUAAUAAAUUACUUAUCAGUUGAAUUACUGGGAUUAAGUAUGUGCACACUUUAUAUUUAUAUUUUGAAAAUUAUUGCAAGAUUGCCUUCAAAAAUGUGGUUAACAACUUUAUCUUCAAAUGGCAAUGAAUGAGAUUGCCAGCUUUCCUACAGCCUCACAGACAAUGGAUUUUAUAAAUAUUUAACAUUUUUGCCAAUGUGAUCACCCAAACUAUUGUCUUAAAUUGUAUCUCUUUUGUUUUUGAGUUUGGUCAUUUUUUCAUGUUUAUUAGCCAUCUGUAUUUUUUAAUUUCUUCUUUAUGUCCAAUUUUGUGGGUGGGAGGAGGAUUUAGUCUCUUCCUGAUUUCGAAGAGCUCAUUUACUAUUUCGGGAAAUAAGAUUUGGAUUGUCAACCAUUAUAGCUAUUUUUUACACACUUUUCAACUUUGUUUUUGUUAUAAGAAUGUGUAUGAUUGUUACAUGUCCAAGUAUAACCAUGUUCGCUUUUAUGGCUUCUGAGUUUCAUGUCAUUUUUGGAAAGAUAUAUAUAUUGAGUCCAUAAAACCCUUCACCUAUGUUAAAUUCUAAUUCUUUUGUGUUUUUUUAAUUCAAAUUCUUAAAUCAUGAGAAAUUUUUUUGUUUUGAAAUCUUAAAGUUGCCAAGUUACUUGCCAUUACUUGCGAUUAUUUGCCAAUAAUUGCCCAUUUAUCUGUACCGCCAUCUUGCGCAUAUGCUGUACUCUCAUCUGUGACUGGCUCCAUUUUUGUUCUGUGGAUUUGUGUGUCUCUUCUUCUGCCUCCUGUCUCGUGUCUGCUCGUUGGAAGAAAUUACAGUUUAGACUGCAAUUUCAUCAACUUUAAUAAAUCAAUUGAGGGGAGAAUUGGUUUUUAAAAAUAUUAAGUAAGUCUUCGUAUCCAAGGACAAGGUAUGUCUUUUCUUAUUCAAUAAUUUUAAUUACUGUUAAUAUUUUCACUGUGGUGAUGGGAGUUUUUCUUUUAAUUUAUUUUCUUGUUCAUUUUUUGUAUCUAAAGUUUUUGUUUUGUUUUGUUUUGGGGGUAAGUUGUCACCUUACUGUUUCUUGUUGCUUUUCAGAUUUUUUCAAAGUAUAGACUAAAUCCUUCACAAAUAUUUAAAGUUUUUAUUUUCCCCCUUCAUAUUGAUCCUGAUUUUAGUUAUGUUGACAAAGUCCACAGACUGUUACUAUCAGAACACUUGAACAGUUAUGGAAAUAUUACCUACCCUUGAUUUAAUCAGAGUUUAAUGGUAUGCUUCUUUGGUUUGACUGGCACAUUGUCGCUGGUCAUUUCCUCCCAAAGACCACCAGAAAGAGCUAUGAUCAAGCAAAGCUGAGUUUGUUAAACUUACCUGCAGCAAGGGAAAACACCACCUUGAUAGGGUUUAAUAAUGUUUCAAAAUCAAGAAAUGAGGCUUUGGGGUCUGGGCAGGGAACUAAUUAGAAAUGGGCAAAAUUUGUCAUGCAAUACCUUGUGGGAAAGUGAGAUGAGGUUCUUAAUGUGAGUAUUGAUGGUGAAAUCAUUUUCUAGGUGAGCUGUUUGCCUAUAUAAAGAUGUUAUCAAUGACAGAAGAACUAUUUGCCUAGAUAAACAAACUGAAUUUAUUUAUUGGUUUACAGUUUUAUCUUGCUGGGCAGGACUCUGCUGGGGGUGGUAUCAGGUCUUAUUCCCAAUAGGUAAGUUAUUUGGAUAUGGGUGGUCUUAAUCAUCAAUGUGUAAAAUGCUGAUUUUAAGUGCGAAAUACUUUGUCUACCAUGUUAGGAAAGUCUGCCACCUUUUAUCUUUUUUAAGGAAUUUUAAUCAAAACCAGGUGGUAGAUAUAAUCAAAUUGUUUUGCAGAAUCAAUUUUCCUGUUCUCUUUAAAGACUUUUAUCACUGUGAAUUAAUUUACUAUUAUUGCAACUUCCUUUAAUUCCUUGAAUGAACAGACCCUACUGGUUUUAAAAAUGUUUUAUUCUUUUAAUUUACUACUUAAUUGUGGGUAUUUUAAUUUGAUUUGGAAUUUUUACAAGUAUACAACUAAGUGAAAUUGAUCUGUGAUUUUUCUUUUUUGUGCUAUUUUUGUCAUGUUUUGAUAUCAGAUAUUCUGGUUGUGUUAAAAUAAUUUUGAGGAUUUUCUUCUUAUACUGUGUUCUAGAGUGGGUAAAAAAGCCCUAGUCUCACUAUCAGUGUUUAAGUGAACACAUCAGUGACAUCAUCUGGACUCUCCUUUGUUUUUGCUGGUUUGGAGUUAGGACAUCUAGAAGUUUUUUUCUUUUUUUCCUUUUUUUGUAUGGUUAUUGCUUGUUCUUUGUUUUGUGUCAAAUUUAACCUGUUUUCUCUUAGCAAAUCACAGCUCAUGCAGAUUUUCAAACACAUUAGCCUUGUUAUACAAAGUGUUCUUUCAUCAUUCUAUUAAAUUUCCAUUUUCAUUCCAGUUAUAGUUAUUUCUGCUGUGCCUUUGUUAAUGAAUAAGUUUAAACAGUGGAUGUUUAGCAUCACUAGCCUUCCCCUUCCAUCUCCCUUAAUCAGGACCUUGGUAUAAUUUAUCAGGUAUUUUUUAAGGUUCUAAUUUACUUAUAUAUAUUGUUUCUGUAUUCUUUUGUUUCUUUUCUUAAUAAAUUCUUAAA